GCUGUGGUUGUCCAGUGGUAGAAUUCUCACCUUCCACGUGGGAGACCCAGGUUCGAUCCUGGCCAAUGCA
rnacentral:tRNA from 1 species